GUAAGACCCCGUGUGGUGUUCUCGCUCGAGUGAAGUUCCUAGAAAAUCUUCAAUCCUUCAUCUGGUGAUUCACAACGGAGAAACAUCCGGAACUUCACCUUCGACGGCAAGGUGCGGGCGGCGCAGGAGGCGGCCGGAGUUCGUCGUGUAUGAGGACGAGGAGAAGGCCAGCCUCUGCACCAGUGAGUUGCCCGCCGCUCUAGUCUAACCCCCUCCCGGCCAAGCUGCUCUACUGUGUCAGUGUCAGUUUACUUCAACGUACAUGCCAUCUUAACUGAAGCUAGCAUGGAGGAAACUACAUCCGUACUAAUUGGUUCACCACUGGAUGAAUUUGGGUUCUACAAUCUAACGUGCUGCCAUAAAGUUACUUGGUUCCUAUCUGUUCUCAACUUAUUACAGAGACAUACAUAGAAGCCAACACCAGUGUACAAAUGUCUGAAGUACAGAGGACACCGUAAAAUAUUUGCGUUGGAGACUUUUUUUUUGCUAACGUUUGUUGAUA